AGGUGUUAUCGCCGAUAGUGGUCGCACACGUGCGGUUUCCCUCUUUGCUGCGAGGGAACUUGAGGCUUAUAUAACCCGGAGCGCUUCCAGCGCGGAAAGGAGAGCCAUCCUGACGACGGUGUGAGGAACAUCCCCUGCAUGGAGCGGAUUCUUUCGGCGGCCGGCAGAUUACGGCUGUGGUCUGAUGUCAUGCCGCCCAAGCGGAAUCCCCAGCUCCCUCGACAGUGCCGUGGACGAAGCUGCGGCACAGAACCUGCAACAGCAGAAGACUUCUCUCUGUAACCUGUCUUAACAGCGCCUCCGCCAUUCUCGGAGAUUCCACUGCCCCUGAACUUGACGGUACCGACGCUUUCCUGCCACAGCGAUCCCAGGCCGGAAAACAUCGACUACGGCGGCGUCAGAGUCGGACUAUGUCCUCCUGCGUCCAGUACUGCCAGCAGCUCGUUGCUCACUGCCCUUCCAGCGCCAUCUUGCACUUUUCAGUACUCUUGAAAAGGUGGGACGGAGUGCUAGCAAGGUGCUGCCGCUGGUAGCCCCCCCUCCUUACACGUGGUCCCUGCUCCUUUCUACUGCAAGGCAAGCUUGAAGCCACAGCGCGGAGAAGAAAUGCAGCGGACGGAUUACGACGCGGCGGUCUUCUGCAGAGAACGGUGAUGUAUGAGAAUAAACGUGUUGUUCGUGAACCCGAGGGUUAUUUGAGGAGCCCAACUGCGGCGUUCGUUCUUUAAUCUUCAGAAUAAAGAUUAUCUUUACUGAG